rnacentral:tRNA from 1 species
CAGAUAAUAGUUUAUACAAAACAUGAAGUUUGGAAAUUCAAAAACAAAGUCUGA